rnacentral:lncRNA from 1 species
CAGCAAAUAAGUUGGUGAGUAUAAGCUACAAUUCUAUAUAGACACUGUAUUCCAGGAGUACAAAUAUUCUGGUGCAAGUUCAUUUCGACUUUCUAAUACUACAGAUCUGUUAAAGAGCAUCAAAACAGAAAAGGAGCUGAAAAAAUGAGCUGCUAAUAUUACCAACGGAAAAUCACAUACACCCACCAGAAAGGCAACACCAUUGGUGCUUCUUCCUAUGCAAGCUACUUGGAAAAUUUCCUUGAGGUACACCUCAAACAACUAGCUGCAGCACAAGUGAAAAAUGGGCAGUUCUUAUGCAAGAACCUCCUUCAGCUUGGCCUUCUGGUCGUCCGUCAGGGUUUUUGGGAACAACACCUCGAACGUCACAUACAGAUCACCUUUCUUGUUGCUUUGGUGCAAUGGCAUGCCCUCUCCUUUGAAUUUCCUUACCUCCUUGGGCUUAGUGACACCCUAACAAUUUGUAAUGGAGCAGAGUAGAUUAGAUGCAGUCAGCCUACAAGAUGCAAAAUGAAUGGUGUACUGUUGAGCAUUUGGUGACUUACCUGGGAGCCGAUUUGGACAAGGUGGUUGUCAAGAUGCUUGAGGUUCUUCUCAAAUCCAACCAGAGCUUGGAGCUGUAGCAGCAAAAGGUAAUCAAAUCAUGAGAGAUGUAGAACAGCAAGGUCCAUACUGAACACGGUAAGAAGAGAAAUUUGGUGGAUUAAGCGAAGUAGGAUUCAGAGGAUGACAAAUGCACACAGGAAGUAAUCUAGAAGUAACUAAAUAACAGCAAGGUCCAUACUGAACACGGUAAGAAAAUAGGACAAAAUGGAACCUAAAUGUUAGAGUGAUCACUUUGGAAUGGGAAUGUGCAAUAAUCAGUUGGAGAGUUCACUGUUUGAUAUAGGGUGUAGCAAGGGGGUUAUAACUGGAGUAAUGAGUGCCCAAUUUACAGAGAUGUGAUAGCAUC